UUUUGGAGGUCAGCUGGUAUAUUUCACUCUCUUCUUUCAUUGCAAGGGGGAAUUUGGAAGCUCAGAGAGUGUAAGUGGGUCACAAGACGCUGGCACGUCCACAGCUUUAUAUAACGGGCUUCGCUCAGAGAGCUUGAUUCGAGAGCUUUGUUUUCCACCCAGGGGAAGUUCUGCGAGUUUCAUUUUUAAAACGCAGAAGCUGCUCUUAACUGCUUUACUGAUGCACAUAAUAUGUCUUGUUAUAUGAAUACUUUAAUCAUUCUUACAUGUUUUCAUCUAUUGAACUUCAAUUCCAACUCAUUUAAGUAGAAUUCAAUUAAAGUCAAUUAAAGUAGGUUAAAAUCUUUUGCAAACAUGCGUACUGCCUCGUGAUAAUGACUGUUUGGACAAAUAUCAAUGCUGUGUUAUCACUGCUGUUUGAUGUGGCUCAUUGCUUCAGCAUUUUUUUCUGAGGCCGGUUUGCUAGCAGAUGAGAUUACGGGCUCGGCGGGGUGCGUGGACUGACUCGCUGGAGAAGCGGAUGUGAUUGAGGAUAGAUCUCCGUUUACUUCGCUCCAUGUGGCACACGCUCAGACAUGACAGGAAUGAACACGCUGUCACAUUUGAAACAUGCUGGGAUUUCUGGACGGAUUCAGCAGUGCGAUCACAGGUGAAGUUCACUCUCGCACACGAGUUUACAUUGUUCUUGUUUACAUUGUUCUUAUAUGCAUUCUUUUAUUUUAUUCAAUAAAUGUAUGCCAGCGGUUGUUGACUGGUGCACAGAUUGAGUUACACUUUUUUUGUCAUAAUUUCGUACAAAAAAUGUUUUGAAAAAUGAAAAACUCACACAAAUACAAUGCAAUGAAACACAAGAAACAGCUCACAUUACUAAUAAUAACCUACAUUUCAUAACAUAACGUCAACUCGAAGUUUACUUUGACCCACUGGUUUUUGACUCUGGACAACAAAACCAGUCAAUUUUUUGAAAUCGAGAUUUUCCCAUCAUAUGAAAGCUGAAUAAAUAAGCGUUCCAUUGAUAUGUGUUUUGUUAGGAUAGGACGAUGGUUGGGCGAGAUCCAAGUAUUUGAAAAUCUGGAAUCUGAGGGUGCAAAAAAAAUCAAAAUAUUAAGAAAAAUCGCCUUUAAAGUUGUCCAAAUGAAGUCCUUUGCAUUUUACUGACAAAAAUAAAGUUUCGAUUUCACGACUGAUGAACAAAAGAUUUCUGUGAUGAACAAAUAAUAUAUGAGAAGCUGUUUGCAGUACUUCUGCAGAUCCGCAUCCUUCUUACAGACUUCACAGAGACAUGCAACCCAUUCUCAUCAACUGCGUAGAAAUAACAUGCGCCGUGUAAUACGUACGCCAAAGUUCAAUUUGCGUGCAUGCAAUACGCCUAUUUUUGCAUGCAUAUUAUACAAAACGGUAUUUUUUCUGUGUUUUCUCUCCAUGUACUUUUCAACACCGAGGUGCACGCUGACACUGGCGUAUCAUAUGCACGCAAAAUUGAACGUUGGUGUACGUAUUACACGAUAUUGCAACAGCGUGUUAUUUAUACGCAGAUCAAUGAGAACGGGUCGAGACAUCAGUCCUGACCCACACUUCAAGAUAACAGGAUUAAGAAAGAGAUGGAGGAGAGAAGGAAGAAAUAGAAGAUUGAUAUAGAAGCCUUCAACCACGUCCUAAAUCCAACAUUGACCCCAAACCUAAUCCUACAAUCUGAUUGGUUGAAAUGCUGUUCCAGGACCAACAAUGUGUUUGUUGUGGAAGUGAUGUGCUAAUGCUUUUCAAAAUGAUCGACAAUUCCUGCAGAUGAUAAAAGGAACAGCUCAAAACUCUCAUUUAAACAGUCAUGAUAGGGUGUGUUGGCUUGCGCGUUUGUAUCUUUUGCAUGUGUGUGUGUGCGGCAUGUUCAGAGUUCACUGAACUCGAGAGUAUUUUUGUUCUGGUGUUGUUCUUGUAAAAGCAGGCCGGCUGCCACAUGCUGUCUCUCAACCCUGCCCACAGAAUGGGAUGAUGGGUCUCUGAAUGCUGUGAGUCAGCACACGUCCCACCCUCUUACACUCUUAACUCUUUCCUACCUCCGCAUUCUCAUUACCGUCACACUUCAGAUGCGAAAAUGGCUUUUUCUAUUGCAAACAUUCACCUGCAUUGUGGUUGUGUCUAGUGGUGUAGCCAUGACAAUCACGUUACAAUAUUUUCAGAAAAACAUUUAAGAUGUUUAGUCCGGGUUAAGAGUAAACCAUUUACACCCGUCUGAAUGAUUUAACAUGGUGUCUGAAGUUCUUGAAGGGGUGACCUCGUGUGUGUUUUCAGUGUUCGGCCUCAGAAAGAGAAGCAAGCUGAAGGAGAGAAUGUAGGUCACAUUCCUGAGCUAAAAGCUUUCCGUGCAUGAGCAAACACAACACAAUCACAGCAGGAUUUCCGCCAUUCCAUUGCAAGGCCGUCGACCUAUUACAUUUCCCCUGCGGUAGCCCCCCAAAGAGAAAUCCCCUCUCACCCCCUCCCCAGCGAGCAAAAUCGAAGCAGCCCGCCGAGUGUGCAUUCUACGUGAGUCGACGUGUGCGUGUUAGAGACCUGACGUCCUGGUUUUCAUAUAUCCCAUAUUCAACUCUUAAACUCAUAGGCUUGAAUCUUUGAAAUUGAAUGUUCUUAAUAAAAAAUAUUUAUCUCACGUGACUGUUCCGUUUCGUCUACAAUGUCGCAUGCGUAUACUUGACUUAAUGCAGAUUAUUCGAAAAUAAAGGCGAUUGGGUUGUCUUCUUUUUUUAUGUGAUGUGAAGUUAUGAUAAUCAAAUUAUAAAUCUUAGUUUAAAUAACAUAAAACACAUAGAAUUAAUGCUAAAACUUUAACUGAAUUUGCUGCAGUUAAAAAAAGUACAGAUUAAAACAUUUUAGUUGAAUGAACUAUAAAACUAGUUGAGCAAACAUACUUUCUAAUGUUUGAGUCAAGUUUGGGCCAACUAAAAAAUAACAAUUCAAGUAACACUUUGGAGACCGAAAUUGAGUGAACGUAAAAUGAGUUACUAAAUAAUAAUUAGUUGAAACAACUUGAACUUUUUUACAGUGUACUAGUAUUACCUCCUUAUCUAUAUUAUUUUCUUUUUUUUCAAAAAGCCAACCAGCUCUAAAUUUCUCUCUACAGUGUAUGUGACUUGAAUUUACUGUCACUCCAUAUGUUAAUUGUCUAUAGUGUACCUUAAAAACAAACAAAGCCGGACUAUUAAAGUAAACAUUAAAAGGUAAAGAGUAUUGAAAAAACAAACAAAUUAACUUUUUGUAUGCAUUAAAUACGGCACAUUUUUCAAACAGAGAACCCACAAUGCAUUGUGUUUACCAUGACCUUUCAUUUCCAGCUUGACAAUUAAACCAUUAAUAUUUUCUGCUUUGAUUGUAACACUUUAAGUUAUUUGCUCAUGUAAUAAUUUCUCCUCCCCGCCCAACCCAUCAUGAGUGUGUUACUGUUGAAAUCUCACAGAGUGAUGUCUCAUACUUCACAUGCUGUUUGUAAUUCUCUUUCUCUCCCAUCUGUGUUCAAGUGCAGCUGCAGUACAAUAAGCAUGCGCGGGUGUUGCGUCUGGACACGUCCGGGGCUCAAAUGAUCCCCCCGCACCCGUGUAAUAAACCGUCACCAUCCUGUCACUGCUUAUCUCCGUCCUCCCGCCCUCUGGAGACGCAGCCGUGCCCCGAUCUGAGGCCAGAAAAAACGCAGGAGUCAAAACAGAGCUGUGAUUCACAGUGGAGAUAGAAGCCAUCAUCAUCAUGCGGUCCAGCUGCUUCCUGGAAUUAAUGCUGUGGUGUGUGUGUGCGUGUGUGUGUGUGCGUGUGUGUGUGUGAAAGCUUGAGCAACCGCUCUUUUGACUCACAUUAGCUGGAUGAAACAGGAUUUGACUUUUCCUCUUUUCUUUAAUGGUGUCAGUUGUGCUCACAAUGAUCCAAGUCAGAUCCAAACAUGAAUUGCAUAUUUCCCCGUAGGGAAGAAAAAUGGCAACAUCUCUCAACUCAAAUAUUUUCCUUGUACAGUUUUAACAUACAGUGCACACAUUUGAACACUAAAAACGUUCAUUCAAUAAAUUUGUUCAGCCUUGAGGAUGUUAGUGCUCACAUGUUUUGUUUCAGUAUGUUCAUUAAUGGCUGGAAUACACUACAAGUGUACAAGUUUAAACUACUGUACACAUCAUACACUUGCAGACGUUGUGAAAGUUUCAGAUAGAAACACACUAACUGAUCAAAUCUGCAGACUGGCACAGACUUUCUGCAACAAGUCCAGACUGAAAAUCUGGGCAAAAUCUGAGCAAAAGUCUUGUAGUGUAUUUAGCCUUAAGUCUCAGACGUUCAGUUACUGUAAAAUUGUUCAGGCGAAAUAAGCAAACAGUAAAUGUUGAAACACACGAAGAGUAAGGAGGUGUAAAUGAAUGUAGAUUGUAGAGGUCAAAUAAUCUGGAUGUGAUGGGAAAUGUUUGAGUUCAUAUCGAGAUCUUUAGUAAUAUUUACUUUUGAUUGCAGACUUGACAAAUCUAAGCUCAGUUUGACACAUUGUUGACAUCUCUUCUCAAACUCUAUGACAUUUGUGACAAUUGUGACUCUCAGGAGAAAUAUCUGAGACGCAGAUGAGACUUCAACAAAAGUUUGCAUUUGCUCUCCAUUUAUGUGUUCCUGGUUGAUUGAUGUCAAUCCUUUGUUAAAUAUAUAUCUGUUACAAUGUGUGUGUGUAUAUAUAUAUAUAUGUGUGUGUGUGUUUAUGGGGUCAUCUUUAAAUAUCUCAAUCUAUUGUAUAGGAAUAAAAAAUCACAAAAAUUAAUUUAAAAGUAUAUUCUUGCUGUACUUAUGAAUCUGAGACAAUGAAAUCAUGACAUUAAAAAACAAAACUCUAAUAAUGUAUUCUGAGCUUUUAAAGACACAGAAUUUUCCCUUUUGAGGUCAAAAGUGAUUGUUUAAUCUCAAAUAGUCGUUGUGUGACAUCAUGUGAAGAUUUAUUGUGUUUCUUAGUGACAGAAUCCGCUAACACGGCGACCGCUUGACAACGUGCUUACAGCGAACACAUCUGUGAAUUUAGCCAAAGGAUUUGAUUGUUUCUCAGUGGAUGGCUGAAGAGGACGGGGCGGUUUAGUCUGUAGGCUGCCGUGUGCCCUUAACCUACUUUAAAUAGUGUGUCAACUAAUACGUCUCUCAGGCGUUUCCCGUCUGAACAAUGACACCGGAGCGCAGAAGAAUAGAGAGCGAGACAAACAUCCCCCUUCGAGCGGCUGCCGAGCUUAAUUUAGGAAACCGUGUCAAUGUGAACCCUUGUCACACGGCAGUCUCAGAAUAGCCACCGUUCCCUUGGUAGCCAUUUUUUUUCCUUUUCUUUCUCGUUUGAUAGCAAGGAUUGCUGUGUGAGGACGCCAUGAUGUGCUCGACCUGAUUUUGCCAAGUGGUUGAUGUCCUCAGGGCAAGAUAUUUUGUUGACCUAAGGACAACAUUUUUAUAAAUAAAACCUAAACCCACACCAAACCCCAACCCUAGCCAUAACUUACCCCUAAAAUAAGAGGGAAAUGAUGAGUGAAAAACUAUGGUCUAGAAGCCCCUAAUCCUGGUUGGAACAUUAAACUUAAAAUAAACUGCAAACAUAUUUCUGAAAUCUGAUGUUGACAUCAACAUGAUGUUGCCCUAAGGACAUCAACCAGCCCCAUGAUGUUGCGAUGGAUCUUCAGACGGAUGAGGGAAAUGAGCACGCUAAACCCAUGGAAAACUCCUAGAUUGAAUAAAAAAGAAUACUUCUACUAACAGUAGAGCAUGCAAACGUGUCAGUGUUGGUUUAUUGAAUACAUUUGAUUUAUUGUGGUGGAAAAACCAUCUGCUCUGUGAGUCUGAUGCCAGGCAAUGAUGAGGUGAUGUUUGGAAACCGUUUGAUGUCGCUUUAGACUAGAACUGGCCUGCAUUUAAAGGGGUGAUUGGACACGAUUUCAUGUUUAGCUUUUGAUUUAGUGUGCUAUCUAAAUCAUACGCUUGUGGUAUUCAGCCAAUCACAAACGCACUUCUCAACGGCCAAUCAGAGCCGCUGCGCUUUCCAGAGCAAUGAGUUUUGGAAAGGCGUGUCAUGGAGGAGCUACAAUAAUGUACGGUGUGUGAACAUUUUAAAUGUGUAAAUACAUUGAAUUGCACCAAAAACAAAAGUUAAUAAGGUUUUUAAUCAUGUCAUAUCGCCCCUUUAACACCCUAGAUAGCAUGUAAACAUCCGUUUCAGCCAUGUUUACCAGCGCUUUUAUUAACGAAGCAAUCGCAAAUGAGUGACUUCAGAUUACUUGGCUUAAAACUUUUAGUUGAAAAUAAACGGGAUAUAACAACACAAUGUCAUGGCAAAUCAUAACUAGAUGUCAAAUUGCUUUGAGUUUAAUUUUACGUUAUUUGUACGUUAUGGUAUUUGGUUUUGUGCCAAAAUAGUUGCCGUAAAAUAGUUGUGAAUUCUUUCAAGAUCAGACCUGAUGUCCACAAACACAACGCAUACAUUUUACUUUUGUUGUUGAGUUUGGCCGUCAAAUGUGUACUUUUAAUUUCGGAUGGAGAAAAAGGUCUGAUUACAAAGUCUACGCUCAUUUACUUUUCUGUGUGACUACUAAACCCUCAAAGUGUAAAAUGUUAAAGAUGUGAAGCAUUGUGUACGAGCUGACGACAGUUCAUGAUUCAUAUAUUCAUCACUGACGCCGAUCUUGACACAUCGACUGUAAUACUUCAGCACUUCCAAAACAACCAUUUCCAUCUCUGUUUUAUCUGAAAGCACAUUCAUUUAUUUAUGUUUUGAUCACAUUGAUCACAUUAUGCAAUUAGUUUUGUAAACGCAUGUAUUGUGAAACGAGAGGUGUGAUGAUGUUCU